GUUACAGAUGAGCUUACAUAAAAAAAUAAAACAAAAGGAACGCUGGAUAAAGUGGAUAUUUACCAACGAUAUUAACGGAGACAAAACUUAUAAGAUAAAUCGUGUCGAUUUUCAUCAAUUCAACACCUGCACGUGCUACAGAAGCCCAUGGGCCAGACAGCAUGAUCAGUGUACAGUAAGUGAAUGAGAGCACGGAGGGCCCGUCACCUCAUGAGCGAGGUUAAAGACGCCAUGCGGCAACAUCGCAGAUUAAUACCCACGUCUCCGACCGUCAGCGAGAGAUUUACGCCCUCUCUGCAGUAAGAAAGAGGCAGCUGUCUAAGCCCAGACAGGAGACAGCAGAAGUUUGAUGUGUGUGUCUGGCUGUCAGCUCUCUAAAUCCUCCACAUCAAAGCUGCAGCGAGAUGUGAUUUCCACACGAUUACGCAGUCACAAAGUCAUCAUUCGAGGGGCUGGAAAGUGCUGAUGAACGCUGUUGUCCGGAGAGGUGCUGGCCUGACGGGAUGAUGGGACGGAGGAAUAAAGCAAGAGCAGUGUGGUGUUCUCAUCUCUUCAGAUCUCAGCACAAAGGCAGUAUGGAAUCAAACCUUGAGGACAUUGAACACCUAAAACCUGGUCUUAACCUCGUCUUGCAGUCUGUUCAGUGGCCACAUGAUGCAUAUUGCACACAAAACUGGUAAACAUUUUCCAAAAAUUGCUGCUUUUAUUUUUUUCCACACAAUUCACAGUGACUGCUUCAUUAUUUCAUGUUUUACCUGUCCAAAACUGUCCAAACCCCAGCUCUGAGAGACUUGUUAAGACUUUGCCUUCCACUGGUCAAUACCAGAGCCGUCACUUUCCACAGUUAAUGACCUUUCCUCAGGCAACACCUUCACCGAGAGCAGCAGUGACCUCUGCUCAUGUCCCCCGAGGUCAGCGCCGGACCGGUGACCUCUCAAAGUCAAAGGUCUCGGCCAAUUGCAAUCGACAUCUGAACAGAUGGAAAACUGCGAUGGCCUACAGAUAAACUCAUAUAUCCUGAUCAAACCUCUGCUUUGCCAUAUAUGCCCUUUCCACACAGUAAUAACAGUAAAUUGUCAUAAAAUUACUGAAACGACUUUACCUUUAAAUACAAAAAUGCUGUUCACACAGGCAACGGCAUUCCAUCUUUUUAACGGUAAAGCACCAUUCACACAUCGGUUUCAAAUUGCCGGCAAAUUUUGUGACAUUAUUAACCAGAAAUGACCUCUAAACAGCUUUGUCUCCUGGUGUUGUGUUUGUAAACAUGGAGGGGUAAACGCGAUCAGUGUUCGAACUACACAGCGUAGUGUAAAUGCGUCAUUUGCAUCAGAAUGUUAUGAUUGGCCCAGAGUCAUUGAAUUUUGAAUUUCAACGGCUCUUGAUUGGCCCAGAACAAACGUCUUACGUCCACGCGUUCUGAACUUGUACGUGCUCAUACCAGUAAUCUUGUUCUGCGUUCACAUAGAGCACAUUACAGGUAAUUUGCUGGUAAUGUUACAACUACUCAUACCGGUAAAUUGCCGGAAACUAAUUUAUUUUUGAAAAGGUAUUGUUCACACAUGAUCUCUUUAACGGUAAUCUACCGGUAAUUUACCAGUAAAGUCUAUAUGUGUAAAAGGGGCAAUAGUCUUUCCCUCCUCUAAAACAGUUGCUUUCUCACAAAUAUGAGCAACAAUAUCACAAUUUCUGUGUGUGUGUUUGUGUUUGCAUUGGCGCUUUCAUCUGUGUGCCCACGUGUACGAGAGGAAGGUAAAGGUGAAAAGCAGGAUUAGAGGAGGCCGAAGCAUUUGGAAGAUGGACUGCGAGGCUGAACGAUUCACCAGCCGACAAUCUCAGCUUCACACGUCGGUUCACUGGAGCUCAAAGGUGGCUUAAGAGGACAUAUUCGCUUGGCUACACAGACGUCGACUCUUAAAAGGUUGCGAGAAGAGAGCAGACCGGCUAGAAAUAAUGGUCACUUUCAGAGGAAAACAGCCAAUUGCCUCCCUUGUUUUUAUUGAAGGCGUCUCGCUGCGAUUUAUGCCGCUGUUGAGCAGUUGUAGCAGAUCUUUAAGUUGUCUCUGUGUCUUUGGAAGCAUCUGAUGCAUUUACAGUGCAUUCAAGAUAUGCUUUUUAACAGUGUAACAAACCCAUGAUUCGUGAUAUUCGUACAAGAUAUAAACUGCAGCUAGUGCCAUUGACUGCACAGGCCUGAAAUGAAGAAAAGCUGGAAAUGAAUCUCACAAAUCAUCACCAUAGAGAGGAACAGAGUCAGGGGGUCAGGCUUAAAUGUUGUCAUGAUGCUAGAUAGUUGCUAGGGUGUUGCUAAGGAAUAUAAGGUGGUCACUAGGAGUUGUUAAAAGGUCCUUUGUGUGGUUUGUAAGGCAUUGCAAUAUGGUUGCUAGGGAGUUGUUAAGGUGCUUGCUGGGGUGUUUGCUAGGCAGUUGCUAAAGAGUUUAAGGUGGUCGCUUGGGAGUUGUUAAGGUGUUCUGGGUGGUUUGGAAGGCAUUACAAGGUGGUUGCUAAGAAGUUUUUAAGGUGGUUGCUGGGGUGUUGCUAGGCAGUUGCUAAGGAGUUUAAGGUGGUCGCUAGGGAGCUAUUAAGGUAUUCUGGGUGGUUUGGAAGGCAUUGCAAUAUGGUUGCAAGGGAGUUGUUAAGGUGGUUGCUGGGGUGUUGCUUAGGGAGUUGUUAAGGUAUUCUGGGUGGUUUGGAAGGCAUUACAAGGUGAUUACAAAAGUGUCCUGGGUGAUUACUAAGGUAUUGCUAGGUGGUUGCUAGGAUGUUAUCGAUGGUUGUUAGGGUGUUGCUGGGUAGUUGCUAGGGAGUCAAGUUGUUCUUGGUUGUUCGUAUAUGUGGUGUUCUGGGAGAUUAAGGCAUUGCUAAGUGUUGUUAGGUAGAUCUGGGUGGUUGCUAGGGAAUUGUUAUGGUGUUUGCUAUGGUGCACUGAGUGGUUUGUAGGAUGUUGCAUGUGUGUUCUAAAUGUGUUCUGGGUGAUUACUAAGCCAUUGCUCAUUGGUUGUUAGGGUUUUGUGGGUGUUCUAGAGUUUUAGGUGUUUGCUAGGGAGUUGUUAAAUUGUUCUCAGAAGUUGCUAGGGUGCACUGGGUGGUUUGUAGGACAUUGCAUGUGUUCUUCUGAAUGUGUUCUGGGUGAUUGCUAAGGCAUUGUUUGGUGGUUGCUAAGGAGUUUAAGGUGGUUGCUAGGGAGUUGUUAAGGUGUUCUGGGUGGUUUGGAAAGGUUGUUGCAAAAGUGUCCUGGGUGAUUGUUAAGGAACUGCUAGGUGGUUGCCACAAUGUUUUUGAUGGUUGCUAAGGUAGGGCUGCUCGAUUAUGGGAAUAAUCAUAGUCCCGAUUAUUUUGGUCAAUAUUGUAAUCAUGAUUAUUUAACAUGAUUAUGAGUGGGCCAUAUGACCAAAAGAUUAUAUGAGUAAUUUAUUUAAAGAUAGAGAUAUAUAUCAAAAAUAUAUUUUCUGUAAACUAGGCUGCUAUGACAUUAUUUAAAAAAAACAGCAGAAUUUCACAAUACCACAGCAGAAUACCAGGGUAAUUUAUAUAAGUUACAAAUGUCCAUCAAUCAAGAGCAGUGAGUGUUUUUCUUUUUGUUUUUUGUUUAUUGAUUAAUAGACCCUUUUAGGGCCUACAUCACAGCGCUAGCUGGAGGCAAAACAAAGCGAAAACUGGAGGCGGCCCAUUCAAAACAGCGCAGAUUCGGCUACAUAAGGAGCUUAAAAUAUCAUCUUGUUGUGAUGUUGGGUGCCAGAAUCAAUGUAGUAGAGGCUUCAAUUUGAAAUUAACACAUACCUGCUGCGUCUGCCAUAUAAAAAACAACGACAGCUGUGGUUAAACGCGAUAAAACGAGCGGACUGGACAGAAUAAUGUAGCUGUAAAAAUAGUUGCCUAUUAAAAUUAAAUAUAUACAUCUUCACGACACAGAGCAUGACGCAAGCACGCAGGACGUAAACGCUGUGACCUACUGACGUCGAGGACAGCAUACACCGUAAACAGAGUUUACGUGCUGCGUCAUCUGAGGCGUGCUUGCAUCGUGCUCUGCUAGUGAACUCAUGAACACGCUUGCAGGAAGUGUCAUGGAGGAGCAGAAAAAGUUGAAUAAAGUCGAUAUUUUGUUUUCUUUGCGCACAAAAAGUGUUCUCGUCGCAUCAUAAAAUUCAGAUUGCACGUCUGAUGGCAGGUGGACUGUUUUGACUAAGUUUUUCAUACUUUUAAUUUGCUAUGCAGUCAAUAGGACAGUCACAAGCCUCCCGGUUUUCAUCUAAAAUAUAUUAAAUUGCGUUCCGAAGACGAAUUAAGCUUUUACGGAUUUGAAACGACAUGGGGGUAAGUGAUUAAUGACACAAUUUUCAUUUUGGGGUGGAGUAUCCCUUUAAUUGUGAAAAGAGUCCUGCACCCUCAAAUCUCUCUGAUAUUUAGAUACUGUAUGCUAUAGGGUGCUCCUUUUUUCAUAAAUUUUUUCAUCCACCAGGUGAAAGUGUGAUCACGUAAUGAAGUAAUCAAGGACUCAUUUACAUCCAUUGUUUUGUAGAGAAAUUGUCUGCUAAAUAUUUCUGAAACAUCCAGCACUCACAGCUUUGCCGUGAAUGUUUGAACAUAGCCUGGACAAUGAAGACGCCUUGUUCCCCGAGAAGACAAAAGGUCAAACGCUCACGUUUCCCCAGCACAGAGAUGAAUCCCUCCCUCUCCCGGACCCUCGCCCCCCCGAACUCCAGGCCCGCUGCUGGGGCGCCUUUGUUCACUUCCCUCCAUUAUGGGGAAAAAUAGUGAUGCACUGUAAAACCAAAGCCGUGAUUCCCUCUAGACUUUCUGCUCAUGGUGUCCCAGGUGAGGAUCUGCCCCCCCUCCCCGUGCACGUCUAACCCAAAACCCAGACCUCCGCAGGGGCCUUGGGAUCCUGGCUCCCGGUGGGAUGCAAACACAGAUGCCGGCAGUGGUUUAUUCCCAAAUGCGAACACUCUAACUGCUGUUAGACCAACACAAGAUUCACAGCAGCUAUGAUUAUCCUCAUAAAAGGUGUUAAAACUCAGGUAAAGGACUGACCUUCGUGGAGGGAUCCGGAUGGUGCACAGGUUCAUUUUUCAAUCUGCUCCUCUUCAACACUGUAAUCACAGCAUUUCGAGCGUCACUCGGCUCUGUCCUGUUUCUCAUAAAGCAGCCUAUCGUUGACCUAUCAGAGACUGAAACCAUAUGCAGAGCGGCCAUAAUAUCAAGCUGAACAUUAUCAUCCUUCCAAACUGCAGGAAUAUCGCGUCUGGAGUGGACGGGGUUCACAAAGCAUGUUAAAAUAUGCAAAUAAAGGCUCUUAAGAGCUUGCACAGUGGUUGGUUUCCGAGUCGAAUGCUAACGAUUAUUAAUUUGGAGGGGUUUAAUCUCAGCGCAUGGAAAAGGGCCCUUUUCUGUGGUCAGGAAUGUUGAUUGGAUUUUGGAACGCACACUCAAAAUAAUAAAAAAAAAAUACAAAAAAAACUAUUUCACAUUAGCAAAAUAAUAACCCAGUGACAUGGGUCGAUUGGUUUUCUUUUCACAUAUUAGAUCAACCAUGUGAGAAAUUGGAAAGAAACUGUUGAAGUGUGUUUCUCGACUGCUCAGCGCUGAUAAUGAGUCAGGUCGCUAAUCCGUGAUUCUGCUCGGCUGUCCGAGGUUAAGAUGCACGGACGUUCGGUGUGUGUUCGAGGGUCACGUAUCCCGACCCGCUCCAGAUCAUCCUUUAAGGGCACUUUCACACUGGAGUUUACACUACAUCAGUGAGCACAGCGAAAACCAUUGGUUUUAAUAGGGAUGAGGACGUCAGUGCUGGAAAAAAGACUUUGAAGGUUUUAGGCAGAUUUUGGGCAGGGGGACAUGCUUAAGACCAAUAAACCAUCUUAAACCGUAAACCGCAUUUAAAAUGAAUCCCAUUUUAAGCAGACUUUAAAAGAGACUUGUGCAAGAUUUCCCAAGUGGGGGUUUGUGAGUUCAUGAAGUUAAAAAUCAAAUCAUAAAAUGUCAAAUUUAAAUAAAUAAAUAAGGCUGCAAUUGAAAUCAAAUUUAAAU